CGCCUUGCGCCAGUUCUGUCCCCAACGUUUUUAACGGCGCGUUAUCUUUUUGGACUUGAAUUGGUUCCGACAAGAAUGGUAAGCUCUUUUUGUUUGCAUCUUAAUUUUAUAAAAUAAGUUCUUAUUUCAUGUUUUGAGAGAUUAAUAAUGAAUUUUUGCAGCUUUUAGAUAGUUAUGGAUUAGGAAAUUAUUUGAGUUUGUAUUGAUUUAGGGUUUUUAAUUUAGUCAUUUUGAAACUGUAGGGAAGGUUACUUACAGGAGUCACCAUUGGAGUGGUUAUAGCUGGAGGGGUUUAUGUCAGCAUGGUUGACUAAGCGUCCCAUUCGGGUACUUAAUUUGCGUGUCAAGAUAUGAUCGAUAGAAUCUGAGGUGCAGUUGAAGCAUUUUCUAGAAGAAAUUUGUCAGGUGGCGCCCGUCAAUGUUUCACGAAACCAGAUUUGUGAUGAUGUACCGUCAUCAAAAUAUGUGUUGCCUAAUUCUGAGAUAAUUUGGUCCUCUCAAAAUAUCAAGAUAGGGAUUUUUCGAAACAGGCUGCCACCGCUGGCAGCAGACCAGGCUCCUCAGCGAUGUGGGUUAGAAUAUAAGUUAAGGGAUAAGAUGUAAACGUGUACUAGACGAGGAAGGC